ACCUGGAUGUCAUUUUGAUUCUUAUUCUCUGAACUUUGAAUUUUAUGAGUUCCCAGUCCUUACAUGGACCUAUGACAUAUGCACUGAUUUUCUUUAGGGCCUUCUAUGGUAUUUCACCUCGUGUUCAUUUCUUGAAGCUAACUCUACUCCAUGUAUUUUUAACUUUUAUCUGAAAAUUGUCUGAGGCAUAAGAACUUAUUUAGUUCUUUAAUAAUUGAACUUUCCGUAUGAUUCUGGCACCGAAAAGCACACCUUGUAUUUAUUCUUGAAACCACCUCCGUCAACAGGUAAUGUGGGACCAUUCUCUGUUUUCAUAGUAAACACCUUCAUUUCUCAAAAAAAAUUUAAUCAUUUAAAUGUCAAAUAAAUGUAUAGAGGAUUUCUGCAUUAUCUGAAACUGGUUUUGAACUGCAUAUGACGAGUAUAAGUUUCAACAUAUAAAAACCUCUAUGGCUUCAUCACCCUAAUGACUGUCCUACUAAGAUUUUUAGUUGGUGUUUAAUGACCUCCACAGAAACUGUGCAGAUAUAAUACUUAUGAUUAUAAAUUUUUUGAUAGCUAUGGAAUUGAUGAAAAGUUGUUUGAAUGUUCUUGCUCAUCCUAAGAUAGGUGCAUAUCACAUGGAACUUAGCAACACAUCUCCAUCACCACUGCUUCUGUCGCUGUUUUUCAUUUAUGAAUCAGGCGAGCCAUGAUGAUAGGUCUAGAAGGUAUCUGUUCAAACGAGAUUGGUUGGGCCAAGUUGAACAAUGUGCCUCCAUACAUUUAGGGAGCUGCAGUUCUUAUCUUGAGGACAUGGUAUGGUUAUCUUCUUACACCCCACUUUCAUGAACUAACUAGACCACUUUCACUGGAAUUGCUGGUCAGUUGUGAAUGGAUGCUUGUACGAGAAACUCUGAUGGCCUAUCUUAGUGGAAGUUCGUUGGAAUGUGCUGAAUUCAACUUUGUCAUAAUUGACCUAUUCUUCUUUUCUGUUCCUUCUCAAUUGGAGACUUAUCAUGAUUGUUUGCUUGUGGACAUUUAGAAAGGUGAAAGAACAUAGUUUUGCAGCAUUUCCUAAGUUUAUGUUUCGUUUCUUCGAUUUUGAAGGCGUUAAUUAUUUGUGAUUGACUCUUGCAUAAUUUCAUUUCACUUGAUUUUGUGGUGGAAAUAGACAAAGCAUGAGGUUUGGCUCCACAAAAAGGACUCCAACCCUGGCCCCAGAUUUACUCAGCUUAUAGGCUUGAUAGGACCUCAUUCACACCACGUCAGUAUCCACGCAUUCGUGCAGAGAAACAGUGGAGCCUCCAGGCCGACCAAAGACAAAUGACGCCAACAUAAUCAAUGGGUGUUUGUACAUAGAUGAUAAUUUUCCUCCAAUCAAUCUGUUUAUGACUCAAUAUUUCACUCCAGUAAAAAUCUGCUGAGUCAUUAGUCCAAGAACAGAUAGGGAGACCUAAAAGCAUGUUCUCCAUUGUGUAUGGUCAGGAUUCAACUUUGUUGGAUCACUUUUAUGGCUGCAGAAACCUCUAAUGACACGUCUUCACAUCGUUUUCACAUGAACAAUAAUAGUGGCCCACACAUGAAAUUUCCGGCCCCUUGUCUGCCCGAGUGCCUGACUGUAAUCAGCCGGCCAGAACUGGUUGCUUUGGACCACAGACCACCCUUGAAACGAGGGUCACCACAAAGUCUUGCAUGUUGUGGUGUGGUUUGGACCCAGUGAUCCAAAUGCGCCGAGGACGAGAGUUAGGCCGGUUGUGGUGAAAUUUCUACCUUUCCAUAAACGAAUGUUUGUUCUCUCACUGUAGAACUUUUCAUCACCAUGUCCUUGCUAAGGCCUUUUUGAUAGUCUGUUGUAGCCAUUAAAUGAGCCAUU